GAAGUCUUUAAGGUCCCUGAAAAUGGCU
rnacentral:piRNA from 1 species